rnacentral:lncRNA from 1 species
CUUUAGCAACAGAAUCCACCUUAUCGCUCUUCAUAGUAGCAAGUCUCUCCAAAGGUGAACCAGACUUAGCCCCUUACGGACGUUUUGGCAUAAAUUUCAGCAUUGGGGGCACGGUAGAACUUCUAUGCUGAGCAAUCCUAUCAGCAAUCGAAUUAGCCACCUUUAGAACAGCAGACAUCACUGGCACAGAUCUAGUAACCUUAUAUUUCUCGCCAUUGGAAGAGGUCAAUUCAAUCAUAAGCCUGGGGGUAGCCAACGAACCCUCGUGAGUAGCGGAAUAAGUCUUUGGCUUUUUCUCAAUCCGCAUCUUUUGAGCAGGCGGGGAAGAUCUUUUCUUUCCACCUUUAUUCACAGUAUGCUCUACUACAGUGAUCAGAUGAGCCAAUGCCUCAGCCUUGAUUCUCUUUAUCUCUUCUCUUGGGGGCAUCUCACAUUUCUCCCGACGAAGAGGACUAAGCAGCCAAUGCCACACGGUACUCAGAAGGAAUACCUAGUGCGAUAUGCACCUUCUUUAUAUCUAGAGAAUUCCAAAUCUAGAAAAGUAGAGGAAGACUAAAUCAAAGAGCAAUUUAGCAAAAGUACAAAGCAGCCGAGGGACUAAGCAGUCUACUUACUGGAUCUGAAAACCGUCGGAACACAUAACGCGGGGGAAGAAUCAGACUCUCAUUCUCCACUUUUCUCUAAAGUUUCCUAAGCCCAAUCAUGGUCUCCCUUGCUCGAAUGGUCAAAAAGCCUAUGGCGAAAUCGUAGUUACCCAACUCCUUCAAUAUGGCCAAUGUAAAAAAAGUACCAAAAUUCGUUGAUGGUCAAAUCCAAGUCAAAGAAUUGGCUUGGAUUAAGGAACCUCACCAUCACAUGAACCGUAUUCGGAGAACAUUAAGCGGGGGCAUAUUUCAUGGAGCAGAACACUUCUUGGAAGAAACGAGACAUUGGGAAUGAAAAUCCCAACACGAAGUAGUAGGGGUGAAACUUGACAGCUCUCCGGGCCCCACUACAUGGCUCACGGUUGCUACUUUCCUUGACACGCUUCACAUGCACCCCCAACGGAAUGGUGUGCCUAUAUGCGUCAAGAAAAUCUUUAAAUGAAUCAUCGGAGUUAAUUUUGAAGUAAGCAACCUUGAAGUAACUCACCUUACUCAAAGACUCACUUUGACGAUACAAUGACGGUACACCAUCAUCACCCUUAUGGCUUGAAGAAGACAUACUCGAAAAAAAAUCUACAAAGACAUAAGGAAAAUUCGUUAGA